AAAUGACUCUCGGCAACGGAUAUCCCGGCUCUCGCAUCGAUGAAGAACGUAGCGAAAUGCGAUACUUGGUGUGAAUUGCAGAAUCCCGUGAACCAUCGAGUCUUUGAACGCAAGUUGCGCCCGAAGCCAUUAGGUUGAGGGCACGUCUGCCUGGGUGUCAUGC
rnacentral:rRNA from 1 species